ACUCCUACGGGAGGCAGCAGUGGGGAAUAUUGCACAAUGGGGAAGGCCAUCGAUGCAGCCAUGCCGCGCUGUGUGAAGAAGGCCAAUUCGGGCUUUGGUUAAAGACACUUUUCAGUAGGGAGGAAGGUAGUGUAGUUAACACCUGCAUUAUUUGACGUUACCUACAGAAGAAGCACCGGCUAACUCCGUGCCAGCAGCCGCGGUAAUACGGAGGGUGCGAGCGUUAAUCGGAAUUACUGGGCGUAAAGCGCAUGCAGGCGGCCUGUUAAGUCAGAUGUGAAAG
rnacentral:rRNA from 1 species